rnacentral:rRNA from 1 species
AGCGUUGUCCGGAAUCGCUGGGCGGAAAGGGCGCGUAGGCGGCCUGGUAAGUAGGGGGUGAAAUCCUGCGGCUUAACCGCAGGGCUGCCUUCUAAACUGUCAGGCUUGAGCACGGUAGAGGCAGAUGGAAUUCCCGGUGUAGCGGUGGAAUGCGUAGAGAUCGGGAAGAACAUCAGUGGCGAAGGCGGUCUGCUGGGCCGUUGCUGACGCUGAGGCGCGCCAGCGUGGGGAGCAAACAGG